rnacentral:lncRNA from 1 species
UAACUUACACGUCAGCUUUCAGGCAAAACCGAGGGAAGAGAUUCAUUAAAAAAUAUAGAGAAACAUAUUCUAGGAAAAAGAACCAUCACGUCGGGUUUUAGACAAAACCAAAGGAUUAUAUUAUUUAAUAAUAAUAAAAAAAGAAGACAUUUGAACAUAUUAAUUAAAAAAAUUGCUGCAAAUAAUAUUACCCCUCGGUUGGCCAUGGAACCAAGGGAUAAUACAUAUAAAAAAAU